AACGAACGCUGGCGGCAUGCCUAACACAUGCAAGUCGAACGAAGGCUUCGGCCUUAGUGGCGCACGGGUGCGUAACGCGUGGGAAUCUGCCCUUUGGUUCGGAAUAACAGCUGGAAACGGCUGCUAAUACCGGAUGAUGACGAAAGUCCAAAGAUUUAUCGCCAGAGGAUGAGCCCGCGUUGGAUUAGGUAGUUGGUGGGGUAAAGGCCUACCAAGCCGACGAUCCAUAGCUGGUCUGAGAGGAUGAUCAGCCACACUGGGACUGAGACACGGCCCAGACUCCUACGGGAGGCAGCAGUGGGUAAUAUUGGACAAUGGGCGCAAGCCUGAUCCAGCAAUGCCGCGUGAGUGAUGAAGGCCCUAGGGUUGUAAAGCUCUUUUACCCGGGAAGAUAAUGACUGUACCGGGAGAAUAAGCCCCGGCUAACUCCGUG
rnacentral:rRNA from 1 species